rnacentral:lncRNA from 1 species
UCUGGGGAAUAAUAUAUUGUUUAGCACUUGGACGAAAGCCAAUCUAGUCAAUCAGAUUGUGAGGAAUCCAAAAGGCUGAAUGGAAAUUCAUACAACGCAGUGCUCUUCAAUCUCCAAUUCCGAUACUUGAUUUUUCUGAAAUCCAAAAGCCUGAAAUCUAGUAUAGGUCAAAUGAAGAUUAAAUUUCCUGUUAUAGAACCCAUGAAAGAGUGGUAUAAACAAUAAGCAAUCCAAUACAGCACACAAGCCACUUCACCUCAACAGGUUCUGCCAAAAGAGAAUUUUCCAAUCCUGCUUUUCCCAGAACAAAGAUGUUUGAGCACUAGAAUACACUGAUUGAGGCAUUCAAGAGCUGCCCCUUUUUUUCUCUCUGUCUCUGAUGGCCGACUACUCUAGUAGUAGUUGGUUUCAAGCAUUGUUUUAUUCAAGUCUCAUUUAUCUCUUUUCAUAACCAUGAUCUGCUUCAAAACUUCAAGAGAUCUUCUAAGUACUGUGAUUGUUUGGGGGGGAGGGUUUGAUUGGAUGAUAAGGUGAGAGGUGUUAUAAGUAAGAGCUCUUGGAUUCACGUCCUCUCACUUACCCCCAAAAAAAAAAAAAAAAGACAGAGAGAGAGAGAGAGAGAUAAAAUAU